ACGAACGCUGGCGGCAUGCCUAACACAUGCAAGUCGAACGAGACCUUCGGGUCUAGUGGCGCACGGGUGCGUAACGCGUGGGAAUCUGCCCCUGGGUUCGGAAUAACAGUUAGAAAUGACUGCUAAUACCGUAUACGCCCUACGGGGGAAAGAUUUAUCGGGGUUUGAUGAGCCCGCGUUGGAUUAGCUAGUUGGUGGGGUAAAGGCCUACCAAGGCGACGAUCCAUAGCUGGUCUGAGAGGAUGAUCAGCCACAUUGGGACUGAGACACGGCCCAAACUCCUACGGGAGGCAGCAGUGGGGAAUAUUGGACAAUGGGCGCAAGCCUGAUCCAGCCAUGCCGCGUGAGUGAUGAAGGUCUUAGGAUUGUAAAGCUCUUUCACCGGAGAAGAUAAUGACGGUAUCCGGAGAAGAAGCCCCGGCUAACUUCGU
rnacentral:rRNA from 1 species